rnacentral:rRNA from 1 species
GGGUCAGUAGGCUGGUCGUGCCACCGGUACGUACUGGACUCACUGAUUCCUCCUUCCUGAAGAACCGUAAUGCCAUUAAUUUGGUGUUGCGGGGAAACUGGACUGUUACUUUGAAAAAAAUAGAGUGUUUAAAGCAAGCUAACGCUUGAAUACAUUAGCAUGGAAUAAUGAAAUAGGACGAUCGAUCCUAUUUUGUUGGUUUCUAGGAUUGACGUA